GAUGAACGCUGGCGGCGUGCCUAAUACAUGCAAGUCGAGCGAACAGAUAAGGAGCUUGCUCCUUUGACGUUAGCGGCGGACGGGUGAGUAAAACGUGGGUAACCUACCUAUAAGACUGGGAUAACUUCGGGAAACCGGAGCUAAUACCGGAUAACAUUUGGAACCGCAUGGUUCUAAAGUGAAAGAUGGUUUUGCUAUCACUUAUAGAUGGACCCGCGCCGUAUUAGCUAGUUGGUAAGGUAAAGGCUUACCAAGGCGACGAUACGUAGCCGACCUGAGAGGGUGAUCGGCCACGCUGGAACUGAGACACGGUCCAGACUCCUACGGGAGGCAGCAGUAGGGAAUCUUCCGCAAUGGGCGAAAGCCUGACGGAGCAACGCCGCGUGAGUGAUGAAGGGUUUCGGCUCGUAAAACUCUGUUAUUAGGGAAGAACAAACGUGUAAGUAACUGUGCACGUCUUGACGGUACCUAAUCAGAAAGCCACGGCUAACUACGUG
rnacentral:rRNA from 1 species